GGGCGUGAGCUGUCGGUUCUAGGAUUUCAUCUCUAGAUUUUGUGAGAAGAAAAAUAUAAGAGUGAGUCUUGUCUAAUCUUUCACACCACUACCUCCUCAUAAAACUUUAUUUUCUGAUCUGAAGAAGUUUGAGAGAUCUGAAGAAAGGAGCUUGGAUCAGCCAUCUAGAGCCUUCAAUGCGAGCUAGCACUCCAGCGAAAGAAGAUCCGAUCAGAGUUUCGAGUGGAUGAUCUGUAGAGGCCAGAUGACCUGUGCGACUGC
rnacentral:lncRNA from 1 species